GACGUAGGAUGCAAGCGUUGUCCGGAUUUAUUGGGCGUAAAGAGUUCGUAGGUGGUUCGUUAAGUCUGAUGUUAAAGACCGAGGCUCAACUUCGGGACUGCAUUGGAUACUGGCGGACUUGAGUGUGGUAGAGGCAAUCGGAAUUCCUGGUGUAGCGGUGAAAUGCGCAGAUAUCAGGAAGAACACCCGUGGCGAAGGCGGCUCUCUGGGACGGUACUGACGCUGAGACGCGAAAGCGUGGGGAGCGAACAGG
rnacentral:rRNA from 1 species